CCUUCGAUAGCUCAGUUGGUAGAGCGGAAGGACUGUAGAUCCUUAGUGUCGCUGGUUCAACUCCGGCUCGAAGGA